GCCAAACAAGAAGAUAGAAGAAAAAGAGGUGAUAUGAUCACUAUGUACAAAAUAGUAACAGGAAUUGAUAAAAUUGAUAGGGAAGAUUUCCUGAGACCUGGAACUUCAAGAACAAGAGGCCAUAGAAUUAAAUUUAACUAAAGAAAGAUGCCAGAGAAAUGAAAGAAAAUUCACUUUCACAAACAAUGGUAAACGAUUGGAACAAGUUAGGUGAGAAGGUGGUGGAGGCCAAAACCGUCAGUAAUUUCAAAGCGUUUUAUGACAAAAGAGUGCUGUGAAGACGGGACACCACGAGCGUAGCUCUCAUCCUGUAACUACACUUAGGUAAUUACACACUCACACACCUAUACUGGUAUAUACAGUACAAUGAAACCCUUAUAUAAAUAACUACAGUAUAUGAGGGAGACCCAACUCCUUGCAUCUGGAUAUUCACUUCACUUACAAGUUGUUUUCUCUCUCUCUCCCCCCAUCUCUCUCUCUUCUCUCCUACCCUCCCUUCUCUAUUUCUCCACUCUUUUGAAUACAAAUACUGUACUUUAUAUACAGUUUGUUAUUUUUGUGCAUUAUGAUAAUUCAAAUGUCAUAAUUUUCAUACAGUAAAAAUAAAAUACAAAAAUCUAAAAUGCUUAUAAAGUAAACAUUUUAUAUAAAUAUUAUAAUAUACUGUGUCAGUCUUGCUUAACCCCUUUCCUCUGAUAAGCAAGAACACUUGCUUUAAAAAAGAAAUCACUAAGUUUUCUUAGAUGCAUUGAAACAAAAAAGUACUGUAGUUUCCAUGUCCUGUAUCAUUCAUCCAGACUUUUGGCAUACAGAACAGGAGUUUGGGCCUGGUAGCUGCAGCAUUUGGUGGCAAUAGAGUAAAACCUCAAGCACUGUGGUCGUUCUAAACCUGUCAGGAAUAAUUUGUUAUAAUUCAAUAUUUUGGUCACCAUUAUGAAUGAUAUAAUAAUGGUAAAUUUGAAAAGAGCAUUAUUUUGUCUACAAGAAACAACACAAAUCAAUGUAGAAAAAAUGGGGAAGUGGCAGAAUUUCUUGUUUCUGGAAGAAUCCUUCCAGAAAGAAAUGACUAAUAAAGUCUCCCUUUAUUAACUCCCUGAGCUUAACACUUUUUCCACAUAAAUCUUAAGCUCAAUACCACAGGUAUCUGAUAUCUAUCUGUCACCUACCUUAAGCCCGGACCAGAAUUUGGUUCAUUCAAUGAGUUGACAGUCGCAAGAGGAUCAGGGAUCAAUCACAAAACUAAGAAAAAUCCACCAGAAAACAAAAACACACCAAAAUAAGUGACUGCUUGAAAUAAAUGAGGCACUCCAAUGGAAACAUGUCAACCAGUCAUUUAUGUGGGAUUAAAUAAAUACCACACUAGACAAUGUCCCAAGUCACCUGGAGUCUUAGUUAGCCUGCCUCCUCACUCAGGAGCUGCCUGUGCAAUACAGUACCACAAAACCCCACGAAGAAGAGAAUGGGAAGUUACAGUACUGGAAGUUCACCAGAAAAAGUGUUUCAUCAUAUUUCGUGGGGAGACUGUAGACAGAAUGACAAGAAAGCUGAUCAGAGUGCCAAACAUUCAUGUAUCUUCAGAUUAGGGACAAAUAGCUGGCUCACUGAACUGAACCUUUAUGCAGAGGACCUAGGAGAAGUUGACCUUUAAACAAUGCACGAACAGAGCCUUGACCCCAACAGUGUGAGGAGAGCACACACAAAAAAAAAUUCAUGCUGCAGCUGCCAGAUAAAGGAAAUAGCUGGAGCCAGUUGGAGAUAAAAAAAUAUCCGAGGUAGCAGGAUAAAGAGACAAUGACACAUCUCUAACCAAACGCCAGUAAGUGAGGCUCUGCCAAGUCCUAAAGAGACGAGGCAGCAAUCAGUGUACAGUAUUAUGAAUAAACAAGAAUAAAAAAGACAAAAUCAACACAAACUGACACAAAGGAUACUGAAGAGAGGAACAAAUGGAAGGACCACCAGGCCACACCUUCAAAUAACCUGCCAAGGUUAUUUGGAACUGUUAGCAAUUUCAAUAGAGGAAUUCUCAACUCCCACAAGUAUAAUUGAGUACUAUAUAUACAUUGCACAAUGCAGCAUCAAAUUUGAAUAUUCACAGGAUAUACAUUUAUUAUGAUGACUAAACCAUACCAGAAGAUGACUUAUCAACUUGAUAAUGGUCCAGGACAGACUGAAACAUCGUCGUCUCCUCAUCUUUUGGUGUGUGAUUUGGUCAUCAUAUCUUCAGCCACGUUAUUGUGACUCAUCGUUUGUAUACAUUUAUUAUAUUACAGUAUCAACUUUUUGUUUGCGCCAUAAGAUAGAGUAAUCAUAUGUAAACAUUUGGGUGUGGCACCAAAAUUAAAUAUUAACAUUUGUGUGCAGUAAACUGCCACUCACAUAAACAGUUCAUCUCUCUCCUACACUCCUCCACAACUCUCACCAAAUUGUUUAAUUUUCUUUUCUGCUCAAAGGACAUUUAUUUCUUUUUUUUUCUCUUACCCAGCACCAUGACUGAUGUUGGGACACCAUCUUAAUAAGAAAAAUGGAAAUAGAGUGGUGAGAGAAUGUGUUGUUUAACAAUAAAAUCAAAUGCUACAUACAACAACUACUAUACUGUGAAACAUUCUUUGGCUAUUUGUGUGCAUUUUUUAUUGUUUGACAAAAUUUUUAUAAAAAUUUGUCUUACUGUAUUUGAGUUUGUUUUAAAGAUUUUUUUUUACAAACAGCCUUUAUAAAUAUUCUCAUGAAAAGUUUGGAGGCUUUGAUGGGAGUCACAAAACCUAAUAAAGGUACUUAGAGAAAUGUUUGGUAAAAUAUCUGUCACCAAAUAAAAUUUGGGACAACAGAAACACCACAACAUUGAUUUUCUUCAAUGCCACCAGAUUGCAACAUCAACCACCCAGAACUUUGGCUAAGGUAAGUUUCCCUUACUAUCUUCCUCUGACCUUUGCCCUACGGAAACCAAGUAUCUUAAUUUAUUGGCAAGCUGAUAUUUUGUUGCUUGUUUAAUGGAUUUUUUUUUCUCUGCCCUAUUGUAGGUCUUAGCACUUCCUUCUUACCUGGGUGGCUAUACUGUAAUCUAGUGACAUUGAAGACGUCAACAAGUGGGGUUUGGGUUUUAUUUUGUGCUUGGUUGCUACCAAACUUUUUUGUAGUGUUUUGAGUUUCUGUGACUACCUUUUGGCUCUAGGACAGUUUUUUCUGUCAUGGGUUAAUCUUCCCCUGCCUCUGUGUGGGGAAACAAGAUGCUGGUCCUAGAAUUUGGUAGCCUGAGAUUGUCACAAGUCUGGUGAGUCGAAAGUAACAAUGCUUUUAAACUCAUUUAUCAAUUUGAGUUUGCUUCAAAGUUUUUAUAUUUUUAUUGAAAUUUGGUUGAGAUUGUGAUGAGGUCAGCUGCCUCUGAUAUGUUUCAGUUAACACACAUUCGUUGGUCCAAAAACUGCGUUAUCGUGGGGGCCCUUUGAAGGACUAGAAAUUUUGCAGAUUUUCUGGCAUAGUGCUUCUCCUGAUAACCUUACCUUGUUUUUUUUUUUUUUUUAAGUGAAUGUGGUAGUAAUAGUAAAAUAAUUUAAGUGAGGGAAUUGUAGUGUAUUUGAUCUUUUGCAGUGUAUUGAUGGUGAAUGAACUUAGUAAGUACACCCUGCCAAAUUCUUCGGGUGUUCCUGAGUAAGCAUAACAGUUUUAGAAAUUAGUAUUCUGUUCCUUGCUUCUUUGAAUUAAAAGCAGAUUGCUUCUCUAAAUCAUUUAGCAAUACAGUACUUAGCAUGCACUUGGAUUUGAAAAUACUGUAUAAAAUUUAGGAUUUGUUAACCGUAAUAUUUUUUCUCAAAUCUUUGUUUUUAAAAUAGCUCUUAUUAGCUUUUGUUUUCACCUAGCAAACUUAUGAUAAACAAAAUUAAUUAAUACCAGUAUGAGGUUCAGAGUGGUGGUGACUGGUGUGUGUUAACAAGGCAGAAAGUAACUUAACGUUAAAAGAAGCAUGUGCAAAAUUGUUAACAACCAUAAGUACUUUGCAUUAUCCAGUUAAAGUUGUUACUGUAAGGUCUGGACAUGCAUAGUAGCUGAAUUGUAUUAGACUUGGUAUACCCUAUUAAAAUGUAGAAUGCCACUUGUAUUAGCAGAAACAUUUCCAAACUUAAGAUUUAAUCAGAUUGGUCAGAAUCGUUAUAACAUGUAGUAGAUCUGAAGAGC